rnacentral:rRNA from 2 species
UGGGGAAUAUUGCGCAAUGGGCGGAAGCCUGACGCAGCGACGCCGCGUGGGGGAUGACGGCCUUCGGGUUGUAAACCUCUUUCGCCAGGGACGAAGAGCAAUUGACGGUACCUGGAGAAGAAGCACCGGCCAACUACGUGCCAGCAGCCGCGGUAACACGUAGGGUGCGAGCGUUGUCCGGAAUUAUUGGGCGUAAAGAGCUCGUAGGCGGUGUGUCGCGUCGGCCGUGAAAACUUGGGGCUUAACUCUGAGCGUGCGGUCGAUACGGGCAUCACUUGAGUUCGGCAGGGGAGACUGGAAUUCCUGGUGUAGCGGUGAAAUGCGCAGAUAUCAGGAGGAACACCGGUGGCGAAGGCGGGUCUCUGGGCCGAUACUGACGCUGAGGAGCGAAAGCGUGGGGAGCGAACAGG